AGCGAACGCUGGCAGCAGGCUUAACACAUGCAAGUCGAGCGCCCCGCAAGGGGAGCGGCAGACGGGAGAGUAACACGUGGGAACGUACCCUUCAGUUCGGAACAACCAAGGGAAACUUUGGCUAAUACCGAAUACGUCCGUAAGGAGAAAGAUUUAUCGCUGAAGGAUCGGCCCGCGUCUGAUUAGCUAGUUGGUGAGGUAACGGCUCACCAAGGCGACGAUCAGUAGCUGGUCUGAGAGGAUGAUCAGCCUCACUGGGACUGAGACACGGCCCAGACUCCUACGGGAGGCAGCAGUGGGGAAUAUUGGACAAUGGGGGCAACCCUGAUCCAGCCAUGCCGCGUGAGUGAUGAAGGCCUUAGGGUUGUAAAGCUCUUUUAACGGGGAAGAUAAUGACGGUACCCGUAGAAUAAGCCCCGGCUAACUUCGUGCCAGCCGCCGCCGUAAUAC
rnacentral:rRNA from 1 species